UACGGAGGGUGCGAGCGUUAAUCGGAAUUACUGGGCGUAAAGGGUGCGUAGGUGGUUUGAUAAGUUAUCUGUGAAAUUCCCGGGCUUAACCUGGGACGGUCAGAUAAUACUGUUGAACUCGAGUAUGGGAGAGGGUAGUGGAAUUUCCGGUGUAGCGGUGAAAUGCGUAGAGAUCGGAAGGAACACCAGUGGCGAAGGCGGCUACCUGGCCCAAUACUGACACUGAGGCACGAAAGCGUGGGGAGCAAACAGG
rnacentral:rRNA from 1 species